CACGUAGGCGGCUUGGUAUGUCGGGUGUGAAAUCCCCGGGCUCAACCUGGGAACUGCAUCCGAAACUGCCUUGCUCGAGUAUGGGAGAGGGAAGUGGAAUUUCCGGUGUAGCGGUGAAAUGCGUAGAUAUCGGAAGGAACAUCAGUGGCGAAGGCGACUUCCUGGACCAAUACUGACGCUCAGGUGCGAAAGCGUGGGGAGCAAACA
rnacentral:rRNA from 1 species